UGUAGGGUCCCUAGAGGACUAGUGGUUAGCGCUCUCACCGCUGCGGCCCGGGUUCAAUUCCUGGCCAGGGAA